rnacentral:rRNA from 1 species
UUACUGGGCGUAAAGCGGGCGCAGACGGUUACUUAAGCAGGAUGUGAAAUCCCCGGGCUCAACCUGGGAACUGCGUUCUGAACUGGGUGACUAGAGUGUGUCAGAGGGAGGUAGAAUUCCACGUGUAGCAGUGAAAUGCGUAGAGAUGUGGAGGAAUACCGAUGGCGAAGGCAGCCUCCUGGGAUAACACUGACGUUCAUGCCCGAAAGCGUGGGUAGCAAACAGGAUUAGAUACCCUGGUAGUCCACGCCCUAAACGAUGUCGAUUAGCUGUUGGGCAGCUUGACUGCUUAGUAGCGAAGCUAACGCGUGAAAUCGACCGCCUGGGGAGUACGGUCGCAAGAUUAAAACUCAAAGGAAUUGACGGGGACCCGCACAAGCGGUGGAUGAUGUGGAUUAAUUCGAUGCAACGCGAAGAACCUUACCUGGUCUUGACAUGUACGGAACCCUCCAGAGACGGAGGGGUGCCUUCGGGAGCCGUAACACAGGUGCUGCAUGGCUGUCGUCAGCUCGUGUCGUGAGAAG